UAUAUUUAUAUUGCAUUCUGAGAACUGUUUAGCUGUUUUGUGUUUUUUGAAUCGUUUGCUCGGUAACUGCUAUAUUCUUCUUGCAUAUAGGAGAAAGCUCCUUACGUGGCAAAGGCUAUGAAGAAGAAGGCGGAGUAUGAGAAAGCAAUGAAAGAGUUUAACAGCAAACUCAAUGGCAAUGGAGAAUUGAAGCCUGAUGAAUCUGGAAAAUCAUCUUCUGAAGUCCACGAUGAGAACGAGCAGGAAGCGAGCUCUUAGGGAAGGGUUGGAGCUUGCUGCGAACGGAUGAAUGUUGGUACAGUUCGUGGAAAUAAAUUUGGACAUGUGCAGUGUUGGUUUAGGUCAGGGGCUUGCUUACGAUAGUAAUAGCUUUAGUAUGUUGCUUUACUGUUAAAUUUUUUGCAUUCAGAUAGUGCUUGUGUUCUUUUUUCUGGUUGUUUCCUUCACUGCCCUUUGUUUCAGAAGAGCAGUGUUAGUAAAGGAAACAGCGUACUGGCAGUUCCAGUGACAAAUUUGCAACAAACAGUUUAGCGUUCUUCUGUACUGACUACUAUUGUUUCCACCCGAAUCUUCACUGUGGUGAUGAUGCUAAUAAUGGCAAUGUGAUACUCUGGAAAGUUAAUGAACUAAUAGUAUAUUAGCAUUGCUGA